UACGUAGGGUGCAAGCGUUAAUCGGAAUUACUGGGCGUAAAGCGUGCGCAGGCGGCUUUGCAAGACAGAUGUGAAAUCCCCGGGCUUAACCUGGGAACUGCAUUUGUGACUGCAUGGCUGGAGUGCGGCAGAGGGGGAUGGAAUUCCGCGUGUAGCAGUGAAAUGCGUAGAUAUGUGGAGGAAUACCGAUGGCGAAGGCAGCCCCCCUGGGAUAACACUGACGCUCAUGCACGAAAGCGUGGGGAGCAAACAGG
rnacentral:rRNA from 1 species